rfam:Cavia porcellus supercont2_63 genomic scaffold, whole genome shotgun sequence.
UAGCUCAGCGGCAUAAGCGCCUGCCUUGCAAGCAGGCAGUCCUGAGUUCGAUCCCCAG